CCUACGGGAGGCAGCAGUGGGGAAUAUUGCACAAUGGGGGGAACCCUGAUGCAGCGAAGCCGCGUGGGUGAAGGAGCGUUUCGGCGCGUAAAGCCCUAUCUGCAAGGAAGAAGGAGGACGGUACCUGACUGCGAAGCCCCGGCCAACUACGUGCCAGACGCCGCGGUCAUACGUAGGGGGCAAGCGUUAUCCGGAUUUACUGGGUGUAAAGGGGGCGCAGACGGCAGCACAAGCCAGGAGCGAAAGCCCGGGGCCCAACCACGGAACUGCUGCUGGAACUUGGCGGCUGGAGUACAAGAGGGGCAGGCGGAAUGCCUGGUGUAGCGGUGAAAUGCGUAGAGAUCAGGAGGAACACCGGUGGCGAAGGCGGCCUGCUGGGCUGCGACUGACGUUGAGGCACGAAAGCGUGGGGAGCAAACAGGAUUAGAUACCCGGGUAGUC
rnacentral:rRNA from 1 species